UUUCCGUAGGUGAACCUGCGGAAGGAUCAUUAUCGUACAAAAUGUGAGGGGCAUGCGAGGGCUGUCGCUGACCCAAAAGUCAUGCACGCCCGAGUGUGUCCUCUUGCAUAAUAAUCCAUCUCACCCUUUGUGUAUCACCGCGUGGGCACCCUUCGGGAUCAUCUCGGAGGGGGGCUCGCGUUUUCACACAAACCCCCCCUUUUAAAAGUGUAGAAUGACCACAUUUAUGCAAUCAAUACAACUUUCAACAACGGAUCUCUUGGCUCUC
rnacentral:misc_RNA from 1 species